GAAUCUUGAGAAUUUGAAAUUGUGGAAAUUGUAGCGGCGAAGUAAGAAAAGGGGGUUAUUGGUAAAGACUCAGCUUGUAUAAUGGAACGAGUGGCGGCUGCAAUAGCACAGAGAUGACGAUGUUGGGGUGCUGAGGAUUUGCCGUAACGUUGGAGGAGUUGUUGGCAUAUGUCGGAAUUGUCAUUGAAGACAUUGUUGUUGUCUUGAGGAUCCAUUAA
rnacentral:misc_RNA from 1 species